rnacentral:rRNA from 1 species
UACGUAGGGCGCGAGCGUUGUCCGGAUUUAUUGGGCGUAAAGAGCUCGUAGGCGGCUUGUCGCGUCGAUCGUGAAAACUUGUGGCUCAACUACAAGCUGGCGGUCGAUACGGGCAGGCUGGAGUUCGGUAGGGGAGACUGGAAUUCCUGGUGUAGCGGUGGAAUGCGCAGAUAUCAGGAGGAACACCGGUGGCGAAGGCGGGACUCUGGGCCAGUACUGACGCUGAUGCGCGAAAGCGUGGGGAGCAAACAGG